UACGUAGGGUGCGAGCGUUAAUCGGAAUUACUGGGCGUAAAGCGUGCGCAGGCGGUUUGUUAAGACAGAUGUGAAAUCCCCAGGCUUAACCUGGGAACUGCAUUUGUGACUGGUAAGCUAGAGUAUGGCAGAGGGGGGUAGAAUUCCACGUGUAGCAGUGAAAUGCGUAGAGAUGUGGAGGAAUACCGAUGGCGAAGGCAGCCCCCUGGGCCAAUACUGACGCUCAUGCACGAAAGCGUGGGGAGCAAACAGG
rnacentral:rRNA from 1 species